CGAUGCAACGCGAAAACCUUACCUACCUUUGACAUGUACGGAAUUCGCCAGAGAUGGCUUAGUGCUCGAAAGAGAACCGUAACACAGGUGCUGCAUGGCUGUCGUCAGCUCGUGUCGUGAGAUGUUGGGUUAAGUCCCGCAACGAGCGCAACCCUUGUCAUUAGUUGCUACAUUUAGUUGGGCACUCUAAUGAGACUGCCGGUGACAAACCGGAGGAAGGUGGGAUGACGUCAAGUCAGCAUGGCCUUUAUAUCCUGGGCUACACACACGCUACAAUGGGAAGGGACAAUAGGUUGCGAAACCGCGAGGUGGAGCCAAUCCAGCAAAACUUCCCUCAGUUCAGAUUGCAGGCUGCAACUCGCCUGCAUGAAGUUGGAGUUGCUAGUAAACGCAGGUCAGCCAUACUGCGUUGAAUACGUUCCCGGGGCUU
rnacentral:rRNA from 1 species